UACGUAGGGUGCAAGCGUUGUCCGGAAUUAUUGGGCGUAAAGAGCUCGUAGGCGGUCUGUCACGUCGGCUGUGAAAACCCAGGGCUCAACCCUGGGCCUGCAGUCGAUACGGGCAGACUAGAGUCCGGCAGGGGAGACUGGAAUUCCUGGUGUAGCGGUGAAAUGCGCAGAUAUCAGGAGGAACACCGAUGGCGAAGGCGGGUCUCUGGGCCGGAACUGACGCUGAGACGCGAAAGCGUGGGGAGCGAACAGG
rnacentral:rRNA from 1 species